ACGUAGGGCGCGAGCGUUGUCCGGAUUUAUUGGGCGUAAAGAGCUCGUAGGCGGCUUGUUGCGUCAGCUGUGAAAACCCGCAGCUCAACUGUGGGCUUGCAGCUGAUACGGGCAGGCUUGAGUUCGGUAGGGGAGACUGGAAUUCCAGGUGUAGCGGUGAAAUGCGUAGAUAUCUGGAGGAACACCGGUGGCGAAGGCGGCAUCCUGGACCGGUAUUGACGCUGAGGAGCGAAAGCCAGGGGAGCAAACGGGA
rnacentral:rRNA from 1 species